rnacentral:rRNA from 1 species
ACCAGACUCCUACGGGAGGCAGCAGUGGGGAAUAUUGCACAAUGGGGGGAACCCUGAUGCAGCGACGCCGCGUGGGCGAGGAAGUAUUUCGGUAUGUAAAGCCCUAUCGGCAGGGAAGAAGAAAUGACGGUACCUGAAUAAGAAGCACCGGCUAAAUACGUGCCAGCAGCCGCGGUAAUACGUAUGGUGCAAGCGUUAUCCGGAUUUACUGGGCGUAAAGGGAGCGCAGGCGGCGCGCCAAGUCUGAUGUGAAACCCCGGGGCUCACCCCCGGGACUGCUCUUGGAACUGCGUGGCUGGAGUGCAGGAGGGGCAGGCGGAAUUCCUGGUGUAGCGGUGAAAUGCGUAGAUAUCAGGAGGAACACCGGUGGCGAAGGCGGCCUGCUGGACUGCAACUGACGUUGAGGCCCGAAAGCGUGGGGAGCAAACAGGAUUAGAUACCCUGGUAAC